rnacentral:tRNA from 1 species
GGCGACCUGGACCAUCUCGUCGACGUCGCGUCGGCCUCCCACGCCGACGCGGUGAUCGCGGUGAUCGUCGACGCCGAGGGUGCCGC